CUUCUUAGCACCGACAGCUUGCUCCACCGGAAAAAGAAGAGUGGCGAACGGGUGAGUAACACGUGGGUAACCUGCCCAUCAGAAGGGGAUAACACUUGGAAACAGGUGCUAAUACCGUAUAACAAUCAAAACCGCAUGGUUUUGAUUUGAAAGGCGCUUUCGGGUGUCGCUGAUGGAUGGACCCGCGGUGCAUUAGCUAGUUGGUGAGGUAACGGCUCACCAAGGCCACGAUGCAUAGCCGACCUGAGAGGGUGAUCGGCCACAUUGGGACUGAGACACGGCCCAAACUCCUACGGGAGGCAGCAGUAGGGAAUCUUCGGCAAUGGACGAAAGUCUGACCGAGCAACGCCGCGUGAGUGAAGAAGGUUUUCGGAUCGUAAAACUCUGUUGUUAGAGAAGAACAAGGAUGAGAGUAACUGUUCAUCCCUUGACGGUAUCUAACCAGAAAGCCACGGCUAACUACGUGCCAGCAGCCGCGGUAAUACGUAGGUGGCAAGCGUUGUCCGGAUUUAUUGGGCGUAAAGCGAGCGCAGGCGGUUUCUUAAGUCUGAUGUGAAAGCCCCCGGCUCAACCGGGGAGGGUCAUUGGAAACUGGGAGACUUGAGUGCAGAAGAGGAGAGUGGAAUUCCAUGUGUAGCGGUGAAAUGCGUAGAUAUAUGGAGGAACACCAGUGGCGAAGGCGGCUCUCUGGUCUGUAACUGACGCUGAGGCUCGAAAGCGUGGGGAGCAAACAGGAUUAGAUACCCUGGUAGUCCACGCCGUAAACGAUGAGUGCUAAGUGUUGGAGGGUUUCCGCCCUUCAGUGCUGCAGCUAACGCAUUAAGCACUCCGCCUGGGGAGUACGACCGCAAGGUUGAAACUCAAAGGAAUUGACGGGGGCCCGCACAAGCGGUGGAGCAUGUGGUUUAAUUCGAAGCAACGCGAAGAACCUUACCAGG
rnacentral:rRNA from 1 species